UACGGGGGGGGGCAAGCGUUGUUCGGAAUUACUGGGCGUAAAGGGCUCGUAGGCGGCCAACUAAGUCAGACGUGAAAUCCCCUCGGCUUAACCGGGGAACUGCGUCUGAUACUGGAUGGCUAGAGGUUGGGAGAGGGAUGCGGAAUUCCAGGUGUAGCGGUGAAAUGCGUAGAUAUCUGGAGGAAUACCGAUGGCGAAGGCAGCCCCCUGGGCCAAUACUGACGCUCAUGCACGAAAGCGUGGGGAGCAAACAGG
rnacentral:rRNA from 1 species